UACAGCCAUAUCACAUUGAAACACCGGUCUUCGUACUGUCACCGAAGUUAAACAACGUCGAGCCUGGUCAGUACCUAGAUGGGUGACUGUUUAGGAAUACCAGGUACUGUAA